GGAAAUGUGCCUGAAAGCUA
rnacentral:tRNA from 1 species